rnacentral:rRNA from 1 species
GAUGAACGCUGGCGGCGUGCCUAACACAUGCAAGUCGAACGGAGAUUACGGACGGAAGUUUUCGGAUGGAAGCCUGUAAUUCUUAGUGGCGGACGGGUGAGUAACGCGUGGGCAACCUGCCCUAUACAGGGGGAUAGCAGCUGGAAACGGCUGGUAAGACCGCAUAAGUCGGUUAAAUCGCAUGAUUUGAUCGAGAAAUGAGCAAUCAGGUAUAGGAUGGGCCCGCGUCCGAUUAGCCAGUUGGCAGGGUAAAAGCCUACCAAAGCGACGAUCGGUAGCCGGACUGAGAGGUCGGACGGCCACAUUGGGACUGAGACACGGCCCAAACUCCUACGGGAGGCAGCAGUGGGGGAUAUUGCACAAUGGAGGAAACUCUGAUGCAGCGACGCCGCGUGAGUGAAGAAGUAUUUCGGUAUGUAAAGCUCUAUCAGCAGGGAAGAUGAUGACGGUACCUGACUAAGAAGCCCCGGCUAACUACGUG